rnacentral:misc_RNA from 1 species
CCGAGUUUACAACUCCCAAACCCAAUGUGAACGUUACCAAACUGUUGCCUCGGCGGGGUCACGCCCCGGGCGCGUAAAAGCCCCGGAACCAGGCGCCCGCCGGAGGAACCAACCAAACUCUUUCUGUAGUCCCCUCGCGGACGUAUUUCUUACAGCUCUGAGCAAAAAUUCAAAAUGAAUCA